AGAGUUUGAUUCUGGCUCAGAACGUACGCUGGCGGCACGCCUAACACAUGCAAGUCGAACGAAGUAGCAAUACUUAGUGGCAGACGGGUGAGUAACAUGUAGGUAUCUGCCCUUUGGCCUGGAAUAACACGAGGAAACUUGUGCUAAUACCGGAUAAGUCUUUACGGAGAAAGCUUUAUGCACCAUUGGAUGAGCCUGCACUUGAUUAGUUUGUUGGUGGGGUAAUGGCCUACCAAGACUGUGAUCAAUAGCUGAUUUGAGAGGAUGAUCAGCCACAUUGGGACUGAGACACGGCCCAAACUCCUACGGGAGGCAGCAGUGGGGAAUCUUGCACAAUGGAGGAAACUCUGAUGCAGCGAUGCCGCGUGAGUGAAGAAGGCCCUUGGGUUGUAAAGCUCUUUCGUCGGGGAAGAAAAUGACUGUACCCGAAUAAGAAGGUCCGGCUAACUUCGUGCCAGCAGCCGCGGUAAUACGAAGGGACCUAGCGUAGUUCGGAAUUACUGGGCUUAAAGAGUUCGUAGGUGGUUGAAAAAGUUAGUGGUGAAAUCCCAGAGCUUAACUCUGGAACUGCCAUUAAAACUUUUCAGCUAGAGUAUGAUAGAGGAAAGCAGAAUUUCUAGUGUAGAGGUGAAAUUCGUAGAUAUUAGAAAGAAUACCAAUUGCGAAGGCAGCUUUCUGGAUCAUUACUGACACUGAGGAACGAAAGCAUGGGUAGCGAAGAGGAUUAGAUACCCUCGUAGUCCAUGCCGUAAACGAUGUGUGUUAGACGUUGGAAAUUUAUUUUCAGUGUCGCAGGGAAACCGAUAAACACACCGCCUGGGGAGUACGACCGCAAGGUUAAAACUCAAAUGAAUUGACGGGGACCCGCACAAGUAGUGGAGCAUGUGGUUUAAUUCGAAGAUACGCGCAGAACCUUACCAACACUUGACAUGUUCGUCGCGACUCUAAGAGAUUAGAGUUUUCGGUUCGGCCGGACGAAACACAGGUGCUGCAUGGCUGUCGUCAAACUCGUGUCGUGAGAUGUUGGGUUAAGUCCCGCAACGAGCGCAACCCUCACUUUUAGUUGCCAUCAUUAAGUUGGGCACUCUGAAAGAACUGCCAGUGAUAAGCUGGAGGAAGGUGGGGAUGACGUCAAGUCCUCAUGGCCCUUACGUGUUGGGCUACACACGUGCUACAAUGGUAUCUACAACAGGAAGCAAGACUGCGAAGUUAAGCAAAUCCCUAAAAGAUACCUCAGUUCGGAUUGCACUCUGCAACUCGAGUGCAUGAAGCUGGAAUUACUAGUAAUCGUGGAUCAGCGUGCCACGGUGAAUGCGUUCCCGGGUCUUGUACACACCGCCCGUCACACCAUGGGAGUUGGUUCUACCUUAAGGCAAGGUUUCAAACCCUUGACCACGGUAUAGUCAGCGACUGGGGUGAAGUCGUAACAAGGUA
rnacentral:rRNA from 1 species